rnacentral:rRNA from 1 species
CGACGUGGAGUUAACCNGCCGUAUACUGGGGGAUAACACUUAGAAAUAGGUGCUAAUACCGCAUAAGCGCACAGCUUCGCAUGAAGCAGUGUGGAUAACAAAAAGCUAAAGCUUUUGGUGGUAUACGAUGGAUCCGCGUCUGAUUAGCUUGUUGGCGGGGUAAAGGCCCACCAAGGCGACGAUCAGUAGCCGGCCUGAGAGGGUGAACGGCCACAUUGGGACUGAGACACGGCCCAAACUCCUACGGGAGGCAGCAG